GAUGAACGCUAGCGGCAGGCCUAAUACAUGCAAGUCGAACGAGAUUACGAGGCUUGCUUCUUAUGAAAGUGGCGCACGGGUGCGUAACGCGUAUGCAACCUACCUUAAUCAGGGGGAUAGCCCGAAGAAAUUCGGAUUAAGACCGCAUAAAAACACAGGAUAGCAUUAUCCAAUGUUCAAAUAUUUAUAGGAUUAAGAUGGGCAUGCGUGUCAUUAGCUAGUUGGCGGGGUAACGGCCCACCAAGGCGACGAUGACUAGGGGAUCUGAGAGGAUGACCCCCCACACGGGUACUGAGACACGGACCAGACUCCUACGGGAGGCAGCAGUAAGGAAUAUUGGUCAAUGGAGGGAACUCUGAACCAGCCAUGCCGCGUGCAGGAAGACAGCCCUCUGGGUCGUAAACUGCUUUUAGUCGGGAAUAAACCUUUCUACGUGUAGGAAGCUGAAUGUACCGAAGGAAUAAGGAUCGGCUAACUCCGUG
rnacentral:rRNA from 1 species